rnacentral:rRNA from 1 species
UAGUCCAUGCCGUAAACGAUGAUUACUAGGUGUGGGAGGAUUGACCCCUUCCGUGCCGCAGUUAACACAAUAAGUAAUCCACCUGGGGAGUACGACCGCAAGGUUGAAACUCAAAGGAAUUGACGGGGGCCCGCACAAGCAGUGGAGUAUGUGGUUUAAUUCGAAGCAACGCGAAGAACCUUACCAGGUCUUGACAUCGGAUGCAUACCUAAGAGAUUAGGGAAGUCCUUCGGGACAUCCAGACAGGUGGUGCAUGGUUGUCGUCAGCUCGUGUCGUGAGAUGUUGGGUUAAGUCCCGCAACGAGCGCAACCCUUAUCGUUAGUUACUACGCAAGAGGACUCUAGCGAGACUGCCGUUGACAAAACGGAGGAAGGUGGGGAUGACGUCAAAUCAUCAUGCCCUUUAUGACCUGGGCUACACACGUACUACAAUGGCUAUUAACAGAGAGAAGCGAUACCGCGAGGUGGAGCAAACCUCACAAAAAUAGUCUCAGUUCGGAUCGCAGGCUGCAACCCGCCUGCGUGAAGCCGGAAUUGCUAGUAAUCGCGGAUCAGCAUGCCGCGGUGAAUACGUUCCCGGGCCUUGUACUCACCGCCCGUC